rnacentral:lncRNA from 1 species
AUUCCAUUAUAUUAGAGCAAGUUUCAUAUAUUAAUGGUCUCAAAAUCAGUUAGCCUUAUGAGAAAAUUAAGACCAUUAUUGAAGCUGUAUAUCAUCAUUAUUGUUGUUGUUCGUGACAUAUAUGUGAUCUUUUUAACUAUCAUUUCGUGAUUUGGGGAGUUGUGUUGAGGACCACUCCAUCCCAAUCCCCCUUCUUUUUGGUUAUUUGAGAACCUUAGCUCUGAUGUUGUGGAUUUAGUUAAAAUAUGUAUUAGAAAAACGAGAAUACGGACUCAUGGGAGAAUUCUGGGUGUAAUUG